rnacentral:lncRNA from 1 species
UGGUUCGUGUCCUUAACGUGUAUGACCCACUAAGGUUAUUUGCUAAAUGGGUUGUGUGUGUGUCCAACUCUAAAACCCAAAAUUAACCCGUUUUGACACGAUUCUUUAGAUUCUUCAAACAAGAACAAAGUUGUUCUCCGGUCAUUAUUCCACCAUUGUUCUUCUUCAAACAACAACAACAAAGCCGUUCUUCUUCUUCUUCUUUAUUAGAUCUAAUAACAACAACAAAGCAAAUCCCACUAUUUGAUUAAUCCCAAUUCCCAACCCUAGAUCUCAAUUUUUCAUGGCUAUUUUAUCUUCUUCUCUGCAAAUCAUCUUUUUCUCCUAAAUCAUCAACUCGAUAAUUUGUAGUAAAAUUUCGAGAAUGUUUACCUGGAUUCAGAGAUUUAUGCAGUAAAUUUUUAAUGAAUGUGAAUUCUGGAAUUUGGAAAUCAUUUGAAAAGAAUAAUGUGUUGCAUACCAACCUAUUUCAUGUGAGCGAAUUAGGAUACUAUAUAUACCUGCUCACAGAGAGAAGCAGUUAAGCUAUUUAAGUGCUAUAGCUGAAGUUGGUAUUCGGUUGAAUAAUACCACCUUAAGUACUGCACAGGUUGAUUGAAUUUUUCAUUGAACAGCCCAGGUUGAUUUUCUAAAGUGUUGCCAGUGAAUGAUAUUGAAUUGG